rnacentral:rRNA from 2 species
UACGUAGGGGGCAAGCGUUGUCCGGAUUUAUUGGGCGUAAAGAGCGUGUAGGCGGCUAGGUAGGUCCGUUGUGAAAACUCGAGGCUCAACCUCGAGACGUCGAUGGAAACCAUCUAGCUAGAGUCCGGAAGAGGAGAGUGGAAUUCCUGGUGUAGCGGUGAAAUGCGCAGAUAUCAGGAAGAACACCCGUGGCGAAGGCGGCUCUCUGGUACGUGACUGACGCUGAGACGCGAAAGCGUGGGGAGCAAACAGG